AGGAAAAGGGUGCUGAUCGAGUGCCCUGCUGACUCCAUGGCCUCUAUAAUGAGGCGCGUCCCGAACUUAAAGGGAAGAACAGAAGAAAGCAUCAGUACGGUAGCAAAGGAAUAAUAAUACUUCAAGGUGCUUAAUGAUUAAAUGAGUUAUCGUUUGGGCUUCCCUGGUGGUGCAGUGGUUGAGAACCUGCCUGACAAUGCAGGGGACACGGGUUCGAGCCCUGGUCUGGGAAGAUCCCACAUGCCGCGGAGCAACUAGACCCGUGAGCCACAACUACUGAGCCUGCGCAUCUGGAGCCUGUGCUCCACAACAAGAGAGGCCGCGAUAGUGAGAGGCCCGCGCACCACGAUGAAGAGUGGCCCCCGCAUGCCACAACUAGAGAAAGCCCUCGCACAGAAACGAAGACGCAACACAGCCAAAAAUAAUUAAUUAA